rnacentral:rRNA from 1 species
UACGUACGGGGCAAGCGUUGUCCGGAUUUAUUGGGCGUAAAGAGCGUGUAGGCGGCCAGGUAGGUCAGCUGUGAAAACUCGAGGCUCAACCUCGAGACGCCGGUUGAAACCAUCUGGCUAGAGUCCGGAAGAGGAGAGUGGAAUUCCUGGUGUAGCGGUGAAAUGCGCAGAUAUCAGGAAGAACACCCGUGGCUAAGGCGGCUCUCUAGUACGGUACUGACGCUGAGACGCGAAAGCGUGGGGAGCGAACAGG